rnacentral:rRNA from 1 species
UUCUUCACCGGGGCGGCUCGUGGUGCUCCGCACCUCAAGCCUCCCGUUGUCGGGAGGAGUCCUAUGCAGGCUCCUUCCGGCGAAACAACAAACCCCGGCGCAACAUGCGUCAAGGAACUCCAACAGUGUUAGCACGCCCCUGCCGACCCGGAGACGGUGCUCGUGCGGCGGGUGUUGCGACGUAUGUAUAUAUCUAAAAUGACUCUCGGCAACGGAUAUCUCGGCUCUUGCAUCGAUGAAGAACGUAGCGAAAUGCGAUACUUGGUGUGAAUUGCAGAAUCCCGUGAACCAUCGAGUCUUUGAACGCAAGUUGCGCCUGAAGCCAUUAGGCCGAAGGCACGCCUGCCUGGGUGUCACACAUCGUUGCCCCAAUGCUAUUGCCUCUUACCGGGCAUCGAGCAGGGCGAAAGCUGGCUUCCCGUGAGCCUGUCUCGUGGUUGGCUGAAAUUCGAGUCUGCGAUGGAGAUCACCACGAGUUUUGGUGGUUGAGUGAAAUCUCGAGACCAUUCG